rnacentral:rRNA from 1 species
AGAGUUUGAUCCUGGCUCAGGAUGAACGCUGGCGGUCUGCUUAACACAUGCAAGUCGAACGGGCUCUUCGGAGCUAGUGGCGGACGGGUGAGUAACGCGUGAGAAUCUGCCUUCAGGAGGGGGAUAACGACUGGAAACGGUCGCUAAUACCCCAUAUGCCUCCGGGUGAAAAGUAAUUCGCCUGAAGAUGAGCUCGCGUCAGAUUAGCUAGUUGGUGGGGUAAGAGCCUACCAAGGCGACGAUCUGUAGCUGGUCUGAGAGGAUGAUCAGCCACACUGGGACUGAGACACGGCCCAGACUCCUACGGGAGGCAGCAGUGGGGAAUUUUCCGCAAUGGGCGCAAGCCUGACGGAGCAAGACCGCGUGGGGGAUGACGGCCUAAUGGUUGUAAACCCCUUUUCUCUGGGAAGAAGACUGACGGUACCAGAGGAAUCAGCCUCGGCUAACUCCGUGCCAGCAGCCGCGGUAAUACGGAGGAGGCAAGCGUUAUCCGGAAUUAUUGGGCGUAAAGCGUCCGUAGGUGGUUAUUCAAGUCUGCUGUCAAAGCGUGGGGCUUAACUCCAUAGAGGCAGUGG